rnacentral:rRNA from 1 species
AGGACGAACGCUGGCGGCGUGCCUAACACAUGCAAGUCGAACGAGGUCCAACCGGUAGCAAUACCGGUGAAGACCAAGUGGCGAACGGGUGAGUAGCACGUGAGCAACCUGCCCCGAAGACCGGGACAACACCGGGAAACCGGUGCUAAUACCGGAUAUCCCCACCGAGUCGCAUGGCUUGGUGAGGAAAUGGAUUCCGCUUCGGGAGGGGCUCGCGGCCUAUCAGCUUGUUGGUGGGGUAAUGGCCUACCAAGGCGACGACGGGUA